UACAGAGGUCUCAACCGUUGUUCGGAUUCAUUGGGCGUAAAGGGUGCGUAGGCGGCGGGGUAAGUCAGGUGUGAAAUCUCGGGGCUCAACCCCGAAACUGCACUUGAUACUGCCUCGCUUGAGUACUGGAGAGGAGACUGGAAUUCAUGGUGUAGCAGUGAAAUGCGUAGAGAUCAUGAGGAAGACCAGUGGCGAAGGCGGGUCUCUGGACAGUUCCUGACACUGAGACACGAAGGCCAGGGGAGCAAACGGG
rnacentral:rRNA from 1 species